rnacentral:rRNA from 1 species
GAUGAACGCUGGCGGCGUGCCUAACACAUGCAAGUCGAACGGACACACGAUGAGCUUUUUCCUCUGCGGGUAGCGGCGGACGGGUGGGUAACAAGUGGAUAGCAAACUUCUUUUUCUUGGGUGAUAUCGGGAAACAGGAGCUGCUACUACCGCAUAUAUUGAACCGCUUGAAUCAAGAGUUCAAGACAGUUUUGCUGUCGGUUAUAGAUGGAUUCGCGCUGCAUUAGCUAGUUGGUAAGGUCACGGCUUACCAAGGCAACGAUGCGUAGCCGACCUGAGAGGAUGAUCGGCCACACUGGAACUGAGACACGGUCCAGACUCCUACGGGAGGCAGCAGUAGGGAAUAUUGCGCAAUGGGCGAAAGCCUGAUGGAGCAACGCCGCGUGAGUGAUGAAGGUCUUCGGGUUGUAAAGCUCUGUUAUUGGGGAAGAAAAAAUGUGGAAGUAACUAUGGAUGUCUUGACGGUACCUAAACAGAAAGCCCCGGCUAACUACGUG